AGUGCUUGCACUUUGCUGACGACCGGCGCACGGGUGCGUAACGCGUAUAGAAUCUACCUUUUAGUGAGGGAUAGCCCAGAGAAAUUUGGAUUAAUACCUCAUAGUAUCAAUGAAUAGCAUUAUUUAUUGAUUAAAGAUUUAUUGCUAAAAGAUGACUAUGCGUUCUAUUAGCUAGUUGGUAUGGUAACGGCAUACCAAGGCUACGAUAGAUAGGGGUCCUGAGAGGGAGAUCCCCCACACUGGUACUGAGACACGGACCAGACUCCUACGGGAGGCAGCAGUGAGGAAUAUUGGACAAUGGAGGCAACUCUGAUCCAGCCAUGCCGCGUGUAGGAAGACUGCCCUAUGGGGUUGUAAACUACUUUUAUAGAGGAAGAAAC
rnacentral:rRNA from 1 species